AGGAUAUUAAGGCAUUGAGCCUCAGUUCCUCAAGGUUUGAGUCAAAAAGAGAAACCAGCUGCUGGAACAGGCAGGCUGUUCUAGGACCCCCAUAGUGCUCAAGGUCACCUGACCUCUGCUGCCUGGACACGCGUUUGAAUGGCAAUAGGAGACUUUACAAGUCACAACCACGUCCCUAAACUUCAGUGGGAGUUAGAUGUAAGAGCAUGGGGAUCUGGGGUUGAGCAGACUUGGCUUCAUUAAAGCCCUUCACUGGAGUCUGACCUUGGACUAAGCGUCACUGGCUUCUAUUUUCUCGUCUGUAAAGUGAGAGUGAAGAGAAUGCCUGUUAAGUGGGAUGUAGUGGGGGCUGAAAGAGAUGGAAGGGUUACGACAAGUCUACUAAAACAGUCUACAAUUAGUACUAUUAAGGAGUCUUUGCCUCCUGAUGCAGGCUUUCAGGUCCCACGAUGCCUUAUCCCAAGCCCAACACACCCUCACUUCUUGGUUGACAUUUAGGUAACUUCCAGAAACAUUUUCUGAAGCCACUCACAUACCAAACACUGCCUUAUGGAUACUUAUAGAAAGUAGGAAGCAGACUGCUCUUACCCCCCAAAAGCUCACAGUCCAGUAGAAGACAGCACACAAGCACACAUGCACUGUGCACACAAGCACAUAUGCAUUGGACAGCCUGAUGGGGAGGAGACCACUUCAGUAGUAGUCAGAGAAGACAUAAGAAUGAGUGAUUCCUGAGCAGGUUAGCUCAUCAAAGGUUGGACGGGGACUUAUCAAGUGAUUCUGGAGGGAGUGAGUAGUACUUGAGGCUGGGGGAUACCUUGAAAGGACUACAGAUGAAGGGGGGAAUGAUGGGGAAAUCUUGUGUGGCCAAUGACCAGUUAAGGGCAGUUAGGCAAGAAUAGCUACAGUGCAGAGACAGGGUUUUGGAAAUUCCAGGAAAUGAGGUGGAAAUCGUGGGCAAGUCAUGUGCAGAGUCACCUAUGUGUGUCAUGUGUUAUGCACAGGAAAUGUGGGGUGCUCUUUUAUCCUAGAAACACGGUCUCCUUGGCUUCCAUGCUGCGUAGUCUCCUAUCUUCUUCUCAACCAGCCCACAGAAACCAGAAGAAGGUGUCAGCCCCC
rnacentral:lncRNA from 1 species